UACGUAGGGUGCAAGCGUUGUCCGGAAUUAUUGGGCGUAAAGAGCUCGUAGGCGGUCUGUUACGUCGGCUGUGAAAACCUGGGGCCUCAACUCCGGGCCUGGCAGCCGAUACGGGCAGACUAGAGUUCGGCAGGGGAGACUGGAAUUCCUGGUGAGCGGGUGAAAUGCGCAGGAUAAUCAGGAGGACACCGGUAGGCGAAGG
rnacentral:rRNA from 1 species